CUCUUUUUGAUUAUAAUUUAAAGUAGGGCCUGCCCACUGAGUAUUGAAGGGCCGCAGUAUUUUGACUGUGCAAAGGUAGCAUAAUCAUUAGUUUUUUAAUUGAAAGCUUGUAUGAAUGGUUUGAUGAGAAAAUAGCUGUCUCAAUUUUAAUAAUUUAAAAUUUUAUUUUUAAGUAAAAAAGCUUAAAUAAUUUUAAAAGACGAGAAGACCCUAUAGAGUUUAAUUAAAAAUAAUUUUAUAAAUUUUAGAAUUAAUAUUUUUUAAUGUUAUUUUUAAUUGGGUUGGGGUGACUAAAAAAUUAAAAGAACUUUUUUUUUAUUUAUACAUUAAUUUAUGAUUAAUUGAUCCAUUUAAAUGAUUAAAAGAAUAAAUUACCUUAGGGAUAACAGCGUAAUUUUUUUUGAAAGUUCUUAUUGAAAAAAAAGAUUGCGACCUCGAUGUUGGAUUAAAAUUUAUUUUUGGUGUAGGAGCUAAAAAAUUAGGUCUGUUCGACCUUUGAAAUUUUACAUGAUCUGAGUUUAAACCGGUGUAAGCCAGGUUGGUUUCUAUCUUUAAAAAAAUUAAAUAUUUUAGUACGAAAGGAUCAAGUAUUUUAUUUAUAAUAUAAAAUUUUGAAUAAAAAUUUUAUUUUGGCAGAAUAGUGCGAAAGAUUUAGAAUCUUUUUAUGUAAUUUUUACAAAUAAAAAUUGAGAUAGUUUUAAUUUUUUUGAAUUUUUUUUUAUUAUUUAUUGGGGUUUUAGUAGGAGUAGCAUUUUUAACUUUGUUAGAACGAAAGCUUUU
rnacentral:rRNA from 1 species